GACGAACGCUGGCGGCGUGCUUAACACAUGCAAGUCGAACGGAAAGGCCCUGCUUUUGUGGGGUGCUCGAGUGGCGAACGGGUGAGUAACAUGUGAGUAACCUGCCCUUGACUUUGGGAUAACUUCAGGAAACUGGGGCUAAUACCGGAUAGGAGCUCCUGCUGCAUGGUGGGGGUUGGAAAGUUUCGGCGGUUGGGGAUGGACUCGCGGCUUAUCAGCUUGUUGGUGGGGUAGUGGCUUACCAAGGCUUGGACGGGUAGCCGGCCUGAGAGGGUGACCGGCCACAUUGGGACUGAGAUACGGCCCAGACUCCUACGGGAGGCAGCAGUGGGGAAUAUUGCACAAUGGGCGGAAGCCUGAUGCAGCAACGCCGCGUGCGGGAUGACGGCCUUCGGGUUGUAAACCGCUUUCGCCUGUGACGAAGCGUAAGUGACGGUAAUGGGUAAAGAAGCACCGGCUAACUACGUG
rnacentral:rRNA from 1 species